GUCAUUGCUCCCUAUAAUGGAGGCCUCACGGAGGUUUUACGGGUGUGGAACGGCAUGAGGAUUAAUGUGUCUUCAGUAUUGCAGUGCAGAGAUCGAUAGGCCUGCUGGACCAGCCGUGCAGCUGUGACCCACUGAGGAGAAAGAUAAACGGUUUACCUGCCAUCAAGCUAGAAGAGCUGACUGGUGUGGAACUAGCAGCCAUUCCUGCAGCUGGUGCUCCUCUGCCCUGGUCUUUAACUAUGGGGUCUACACACAAAGCA